rnacentral:rRNA from 1 species
UGGCGGCAGGCCUAACACAUGCAAGUCGAGCGGUAACAUUUCUAGCUUGCUAGAAGAUGACGAGCGGCGGACGGGUGAGUAACGCGUAGAAAUCUACCUAGUAGUGGGGGAUAGCCCAGAGAAAUUUGGAUUAAUACCGCAUACGCCCUACGGGGGAGAGCGGGGGAUCUUCGGACCUCGUGCUAUUAGAUGAGUCUGCGUCGGAUUAGCUUGUUGGUGAGGUAAUGGCUCACCAAGGCGACGAUCCGUAGCUGGUCUGAGAGGAUGACCAGCCACACUGGAACUGAGACACGGUCCAGACUCCUACGGGAGGCAGCAGUGGGGAAUAUUGCACAAUGGGCGCAAGCCUGAUGCAGCCAUGCCGCGUGUGUGAAGAAGGCCUUAGGGUUGUAAAGCACUUUCAGCAGUGAGGAAAGGGGUGUCGUUAAUAGCGCCAUCCUGUGACGUUAACUGCAGAAGAAGGACCGGCUAACUCCGUG